rnacentral:rRNA from 1 species
CAUGCAGUCGACGGUAGCACAGAGAGCUUGCUCUCGGGUGACGAGUGGCGGACGGGUGAGUAAUGUCUGGGAAACUGCCUGAUGGAGGGGGAUAACUACUGGAAACGGUAGCUAAUACCGCAUAACGUCGCAAGACCAAAGAGGGGGACCUUCGGGCCUCUUGCCAUCAGAUGUGCCCAGAUGGGAUUAGCUAGUAGGUGGGGUAACGGCUCACCUAGGCGACGAUCCCUAGCUGGUCUGAGAGGAUGACCAGCCACACUGGAACUGAGACACGGUCCAGACUCCUACGGGAGGCAGCAGUGGGGAAUAUUGCACAAUGGGCGCAAGCCUGAUGCAGCCAUGCCGCGUGUAUGAAGAAGGCCUUCGGGUUGUAAAGUACUUUCAGCGGGGAGGAAGGUGUUAAGGUUAAUAACCUUAUUAAUUGACGUUACCCGCAGAAGAAGCACCGGCUAACUCCGUGCCAGCAGCCGCGGUAAUACGGAGGGUGCAAGCGUUAAUCGGAAUUACUGGGCGUAAAGCGCACGCAGGCGGUCUGUCAAGUCGGAUGUGAAAUCCCCGGGCUCAACCUGGGAACUGCAUUCGAAACUGGCAGGCUGGAGUCUUGUA